rnacentral:rRNA from 1 species
GACAGAGGUGCCGAGCGUUAGGCGGAAUCACUGGGCUUAAAGCGUGCGUAGGCGGACCGUUAAGUACCUUGUGAAAUCCCCCGGCUCAACCGGGGAACGGCUGGGUAUACUGGCGGUCUUGAGCCAUCCAGGGGCAGUCGGAACAGACGGUGGAGCGGUGAAAUGCGUAGAUAUCGUCUGGAACGCCGAAGGUGAAAACAGACUGCUGGGGAUGAGCUGACGCUGAGACACGAAAGCCAGGGGAGCGAACGGG